rnacentral:rRNA from 1 species
GACGAACGCUGGCGGCGUGCUUAACACAUGCAAGUCGAACGAAGAGCGAUGGAAGCUUGCCUCUAUCAAUCUUAGUGGCGCACGGGUGAGUAACGCGUAAUCAACCUGCCCUUCAGAGGGGGACAACAGUUGGAAACGACUGCUAAUACCGCAUACGAUCUAAUCUCGGCAUCGAGGAAAGAUGAAAGGUGGCCUCUAUUUAUAAGCUCUCACUGAAGGUGGGGAUUGCGUCUGAUUAGCUAGUUGGAGGGGUAACGGCCCACCAAGGCGAUGAUCAGUAGCCGGUCUGAGAGGAUGAACGGCCACAUUGGGACUGAGACACGGCCCAGACUCCUACGGGAGGCAGCAGUGGGGAAUCUUCCGCAAUGGACGAAAGGCUGACGGAGCAACGCCGCGUGAGUGAUGACGGCCUUCGGGUUGUAAAGCUCUGUUAAUCGGGACGAAAGGCCUUCUUGCGAACAGGUAGAAGGAUUGACGGUACCGGAAUAGAAAGCCACGGCUAACUACGUG